UACGUAGGGUGCAAGCGUUACUCGGAAUUACUGGGCGUAAAGCGUGCGCAGGCGGUUCUCCAAGUCCGUUGGGAAAGCCCCGGGCUCAACCUGGGAAUGGCAGUGGAAACUAGGGGACUGGAAUCUGGCAGAGGGGGGUGGAAUGCCGCGUGUAGCAGUGAAAUGCGUAGAGAUGCGGCGGAACACCGAUGGCGAAGGCAGCCCCCUGGGCUGAGAUUGACGCUCAGGCACGAAAGCGUGGGGAGCAAACAGG
rnacentral:rRNA from 1 species